GACGAACGCUGGCGGCGUGCUUAACACAUGCAAGUCGAACGGAAAGGCCCUGCUUUUGUGGGGUGCUCGAGUGGCGAACGGGUGAGUAACACGUGAGUAACCUGCCCUUGACUUUGGGAUAACUUCAGGAAACUGGGGCUAAUACCGGAUAGGAGCUCCUGCUGCAUGGUGGGGGUUGGAAAGUUUCGGCGGUUGGGGAUGGACUCGCGGCUUAUCAGCUUGUUGGUUGGGUAGUGGCUUACCAAGGCUUUGACGGGUAGCCGGCCUGAGAGGGUGACCGGCCACAUUGGGACUGAGAUACGGCCCAGACUCCUACGGGAGGCAGCAGUGGGGAAUAUUGCACAAUGGGCGGAAGCCGGAUGCAGCAACGCCGCGUGCGGGAUGACGGCCUUCGGGUUGUAAACCGCUUUCGCCUGUGACGAAGCGGGAGUGACGGUAAUGGGUAAAGAAGCACCGGCUAACUACGUG
rnacentral:rRNA from 1 species